GUUUUGAGUCAGGAACAUGGAUGAUUAAUUUGAGAGCUUUCCUCCUUGCUAAUUUUUUGCUUCAUCCGUUUUUGUGGCUCUUUUGUUUAGUGCACACACAUUUAAGAUUGCUAUGGCUUCUUUGUGGAUUGACCUUUUUUUCAUUAUAUAAUGUCCC
rnacentral:lncRNA from 1 species